AGACUCAAGAGCCUACAGAUUUUGAUUCUCCUGGAGGACAAGCCUGCAGACUUCUUUAAACCAUGCUUUGACUCUGAUGAUCCAGUCAUUCCACCACCUUGAAAUCCUAUUCUUAUUGCAGACAAAGCCUCAGUUAAGAUGAUCAUUGAGGGACAACUUGUGAUGGACUGCAUCAAAGACUUGUCAAAAGCUGUGCAUUCUCUUUGGACUACUAUACCCCAAGUCGACGAAGAACACUUUUCUCUUCAUCCAACAAAUUUCUCCUCAUGUUGGGCUACAGUGACUUAAAGCCCAAGCUACAGACAUUAAAUAAUUAAAUUGCUUUUCGAUUCACUGCAAAAUUUGCACAAUUGUUCUAUUAGCAAUGAUUGCUAAUGCCAGAAAGAAAUGUGAAUGAAACUUUAACAAAAAUAAAAAAAUUGAAAGGUU